ACGUUUAUUUUCUAAACAUAGAAGCAAUAUAUGCUCGUUGCAGAAUUUCUGGAGGCUAUAUAAAAAUAAGGAAAGGAAAUAAAUACCACUUACAAUACCCAGUCCACCAGAGAACCACUAUAACAUUUCAUUUGGUCUCCUUAAUGUUUAUUUUAUUUUUUCUUAUGCAUAUGUCAAUACUUUUUCAUUUUCUCUCAAAUUCUUUUAUGAGAGAAUCAAACUUUUACUACCUCAUGGAAAUAUUCACCACCUCUCCCUAAAUGUUUUAUUAUUCAAUCUGUGAGACACUAAAGCACCAGGAAAAAUCAUUUGAUACAUUGACAUGAGAACUCUAUAAUUUCAAAUGAAAUUUUCUGUACAAGCCCCAUUAUUAUUUCAUAGGGCAUUAAGACUUAAAAUAUAACUUCGCACUGUUUUUUUCCCCAUCGAGUGGGGAAUUCUGAAGGGCAGACAAAGAAGAACAUGAAUGGUUGAUCUGGGCAUUAACAGAGCUGGUUCUUACUUUCGGUUCUGAAAGCAUCGUGCAUGGAGGUGUCGUAACUAGUAAUGAGUGUGGAAAUAAAUCACCUAUCUUACUGUGUAGGUGAAGUGACGUCCUGAGAGUAGGUGCAUAGCCUGCUUUAACGCUUGUCUCAGUGAACUGAAACUUCUGGUUUGUACAUUUGUUUCUUGCAUUAGACAGAAAUCUUGGGAGCUCGAACUGCAUCUCAUCCAUCAUGGAGUUCCCAGGGCUUAUACAAUGUCAGGCACAUGGAAGCUACUCACGAAAUAUGUGCUGAAGUCAACUCAGGGGCUAGAGGAUUUGCACCUGGCCGCUGAUGACCUUUGGGGACUGAAGUGAGGGCUCAUGUUGUUCAGUGAAUGUGUGAUGGAUGAACAAAUGGAAACGUGGAAGGGAGGAAGGAAAAGAGGAAAGGAAAAAGGGAGAAAAGAAGGAAGCAAGGAAAGAAGAAGGAAGGGAGGAAGGAAAGGGGGACGCCUGCGCCUUACCUCCCAGACUGUAACCUCCCUGAGGGCAAGAGGGCUCAUCCCACCUCCAUCCUCCUCGCUCUGCAUGGGGCCCAACUCAUAUCAGGGGCUCAAAAAUGGAGACCAUCGGUGUGGUCCAGUACACCCCGUUCCCUGAGUGAGCCCUGCUCAGGCACCUUUCCGUAGCAUGAAUUUAUUAUCUGGUUCUCCCAACACAGGCACUAGAGGUUUUUUGUUUGUUUUAAUGUUUUAGGCGCUAGAGUUUUUAAGGCAUUAUUAUUCAAUGUCAAGCUAAUUAACUCAGCUUAUCCAGUCUAAGGGCACCUUUCACUGACGGCUUUCUGAAGACAUCAAAAGGUUAGUUUAGAAUGAAUUAAUUACACCAAAAAUUAUACAAAAUUAACGUGAAUCCAACAAUAUAUUCAAUGUGCAAUAUCUUUCGCUGGUUUAUUUUUCUUAACUCCGGUUUCUUCCCAUUAAGGAGUUGGUGACACCCUCAGCAAGGUGCAACUGUAGAAAUAGUCCAGACUUUCUCCUCUCUGGCUUCUCCUUCUCUAUUAUCUUUCUAUGUUAUUUUUUUUCUUCUUUUAUACUUCCCAGUGAUCUUCAAAAGAAUAGUUAAUUUCUUUGUCUUGUGGCGGAAGGGGCAGAGGGGGUGCGAUACAUAUGCUGCAGAGAAAACUGGUUCUAUCUGUUCACAAUUGCUCAAUAUUUUUAAGUUUAAGUGCCGAGUCUCCAUUAGUUGAGCUGCUAUACUUUUGGUUACUACUACCAUUCCUAGUUAGCCAAUGCAUGCAUCUGUGCAAUGUUGUAAAGCAUGGAAAGCAUUCUCUUCUAACAUCUGCAGUUUAAGGAAGAGGAUAAAGAGGUGGAAUCUGGACACGGUGUACGCAAAAAGGUUCUUGGCAGUCUGCAGGGAGAUUUCUACGGGUACCUGCAAAUGCAGUUAAGGACCCAUUCUUUCAUUUCUUCAGUUCUCUAGGAAACAUGUCUUGGAGCACAAAUGAAGUUUCACAGACAAGCAGCUGCCAGGUAUUUGGAGACACAAAUGACCACUCAGCAUUAUAGCUGGUAAUACCAAACUGGGGAGUUCUGUUAAUGGCUUCAACCACUGUGAGGCUUCCCACUAUACGGCCCCUCAGCCCCAACUCCAGACCUUGGGGACUUCUGGGAGCACAGCAAACACUCGUCCAGAAUCCACUGAGGACCUAUGGCCUCCGUCCACUGAGUCCUAAGCUGGGCAAGGUCAAGAGCCAGGCGAGUUAGAAGCUGGCCCCGAGUGAAAUGUUAACAGGGCUUUGAGAAACUCCUUAAGCAAGAGCAAUCAACUCAAUAUUCAAAAAAAUAAAAAUGCAAAACUCCAUGAUGAACAAAAGAUCCAUUUUUAAAAAUAAAUGCAGGAGCUGAGGGGGAGACUGUUGGGGUGAUGAGACAGGCAAGAGCAGACGCAGAUGCUGUCUUUGUUAAACGGUUCGAUGUUUCAUUCAUCAUGGAUAUUUGGCAUUAAUUUUGGUUUUCUUUUUGAAAUCUGCCAGGGAAAUAGUGGUCGUGAUGACUGAGUAUUUGGAGCUCCUGACAUUUUGCACAAGUGAGUGACCAUCUCACUCCCAGCCCAGAAGCGUUUGUGCAGAGAGCGGGAAGAGAGGGUGGGCCUCCAAGCCUGAGUGCAGAAUGCGCCUGGGCCCUGAGCUGCCAGGCUGACAACACAGAAGCUGCCCAAGAGAGAAUGGGCCCAUCCCUGCAGAGCGGUGCAAAGGCUGCCUGAACCAGGGGACUCACUCCCUCGAAGGUGCUGAUGGCAGAGAGGAUGUGCCCUGAUCCUAAUGUCAGCCACAGCAGGAAUGGGUGGACCUGGAGAAAAUGGCCCCCUGUCUCUGGUGGGGAGCAGAGCAGGACCUCAUGCAGGCAGGUAACUGCUGUGGAAGAAACGUGAAAAGAGCAGAAGGCAUCUCUCAGGGCCUCUGCAGACAAACUUGAUGAGAUCUUACAAAUCUUUCCAUAGAAAGACACACUCACAGCCUCCUGCAGAGAGGUCUGUCUGUAGGUGCCCCCCGGGAGGUGGCUGCCGCAGUAAAGACCUCCCAGGUAGAUGGUGGAGACACGCCUGGGAAGCAGGGUUUCUGGGUGGCCUGGGAUGAGGGAGUAAAGGGGCCACAGUCAUAUCACUGUGCACAUGGCAGGGUGGCUUACAGACCGAGUCACCCUCCCGCACCCCUGGAUCCAGAGAGGGGGCAGGGACUGGGCUUCAGCCCCACUGCACAGCCCUCUCGCCAUGGACAGUGUUCAACAGAUGCUGUUGCUAAGAUCACCCCUGACGCAUUCAUGCUUCGUGGUGUCCCCAGUGGCCACCCUUCUGCCACCCAGCUUGGUUCCUGACCCCUCAGGCCUUCUUAGUACUAUUUCCCAGAUGCAGCCUGUCUUUACGUACUUCCUAAGUUUCUUAUUUCUUCUUAAGUACAACUGCAGUGUUAACCUUUCCAGAAAAUUCCUAGUCAUCCUUUGUGUCGAGCUCCUGCCACCUCUUAGCUCCAUCGUUUGCUUGCUGUCCCUCCUCCCUUUCAUCAAAUCAUGCUUUAUAUUUAUCUCCAACCUGGAAUAAACUACAUCAGAUUGCCAGGGGAGAUUUUCAUGUCCAUUCUCACCCAGAGACUUGAAUCUUUGGGAACAGAGACUGUUUGCUCUCGUUUAUUUACCUCCAGCCUCCAGCACGGUGCCCAGCCCCCACAGCCAACCCAACUCACCAGAGUUGAUCCCAUGGUGGCACGGGACUUCCAUGAUUCAGUUUGCACUCUCGAGUGUAUCAAACGUGUCUUUUUAUGCUGAUGCUUUGAGCUCUGGGGCACUGCGGACACCAAAGCGCAUUCCCCUCCCAGGCAGCUAGUUCCUAGAGGGAGUCAGUAUCUCCUGGCCGUACAUGGGACCCAGUCCAUCUGGAGCCCACACCCACCACCCCCCACUCCAGGCCACAUCCACCUGCCCUAAUCACCCGGAUCAGGAACCAGACAAAUAGGGACCCUGAUGUCCCAGCCAGUCCUAGGCUGCUUACCCUGUCUUGCUGGUUCUUUUCUUGCAGAAACCACAAUAAAGGCCUUGUCCCCUCUUCCCCAACGUCUGCUGCCUCCUGCCUGACCUUGGGCUUCCCCGUGUGGCCCUGCAUGGUGAGCACGCUGCCUCCUCCUGGGAGCCGAGAGCAACAAACCACCUUUUCAAUGGCAGUCGUGUCCUGAUCUGCUGGCCUCACCAUGCUGAAUAAUAGUAAAAAUAAUAUUAAAACCUACAUUUUAAAACAUGAAGCAUCACUGAGCUUCCUCACCUGUAAGCUACGUCACAGCAUGCUUAGGAGGGGUGAGGGGUGCAGGAUACACGUGACACUGCUGGAAACACGCACAGCGCUUUGUAUAAAUGCUUAUUCUCCCAGUCACCGUCACCUGUGUUACGGCGAGGCAGUGAGAAACAGCAAAGAGUUGGGGGAGGGAAGGGGGGUCUGCGCUCUAAAGGAGGCAAAGGAGAGAGAACUCCCACCCGUGGGGAGUCCACGGCCGAGGGACUCUCAUGGGUAGUGACAAAGUCUACAUGGCCGGAAACGAACGUCUGUGGAUUUCUUUGUCUAAUACUCAGUUGGAAGUUCUCUUCUGUAACUGCCUUCAUUUCAACACCCUCCUCCCUACCCCUCAGGACGCUGGUUACAGAGAGCGGGGAAAGGGCGAGAUCAGUACACAGAAGGCUGUGAUGCUAGUGUGGGAAAUGCAGACUUUAUCCUAAAGCGGAUCGUGGUGGGCAGAACAAUGACCCCACCCCCGAAACAUUCGCCUCCCUAACCUCAGGCUUGUGGCUAGUUACCUAACCUGACAAGAGACUUCAGAGUUCCAUUAAAUUAGGGGUCUUGAGAUGGGGAGUUAACCCUGGAGGACUUGGGUGGGCCCAGUGUGACCACACAGCUCUUCCGAGGAGGGAGGCAGCGGGGUCAGAGCGCGAGAUGACGCAGUGGAAGCAAGAACGAUGCCACCAAGAAAGGGCACCUGGCACUGGGAGGGGCUUUAGAAGCUGGGAAACACAAGGAACAAAUUCCUCCUGAUGCCUCCAGAAGGGCAGCAGCCCUGCCUAUGCCCUUAUUUUGGUCUCAUAAAACCAUUUUGGACUUCUGAUCCCCAAAACUGGAAGAUAACAUAUUUGUGUUGCGUUAAGGCAAUAAGUUUCAGACAGUUUGCUACAGCAGCAAACGGAAACUAAUACAAGGUUCGAGGUUUUUAUGCACUGGAAGACCCCGAUUAGGACCGGUUUGGGGGAAGAUCACUUUCACCUAUUGGUGCAUGUUAUUCUAAUCAUCAUCAUAAUAAUAUUAGUAGCAGUAGUAAUACAUUUAUUGAGAACUUCCUGUUUGCCAGGCACUUUUCCAAGAGCAUUGCGUGUAUUAACUCACAGCACCCUCUGAAAUGGGAACUAUGACUGUCCUCCGCUCACAGACAGGAAGCCAGGGCCCGCAGAGAAUGCAAGAACUCACCCAAGGUCACACGGGCAGUCCAGUUGUAAACAUUUAGAAAUUGAGGGUCACCUACGGGACAGAAUGCUCUGAGGUGGCAGAAGGGAUGGCCACCUAAGAUGGUGCGUCCCUAUCGUGUGCUCUCUCCACUGAACCAGGAAGGUGACCAAAGACAGUGACAUGAGGGAGGAGAGAAGGAAACAGGCCAGUGUACCCAGAGGGCGUGCAGCACCCAGAGAGACACACGGGCACCUGGUCAGCAGUGGGUCUGCUUCGGGCAUGGACGCGCAUCGCCAGCAGGUUCAUGGAUGAGGAAACUGAAGCUUGAAGUGUUCAGUCUCGUGAAUAAGGUAUUUAGCUGGGUGGGAGCCACCGAGGCAGCCUGCAGCCCUCCUCGGCCUGGGCCCUCCUGCGCCUGGAGGCAUCUGAGUCACAGGUCUUGCUGCCUCUCCUCCUGGGCACCCACUGCAGGCCUGAGGGAAGGAGAACAAUGACAUGAAGAAAGAGUUAAAAAAGUCCUGCAGAAGUCCUGGAGACGAAUGCCACCGGCCUGCUUGGCUCAUUGCUGAACCUAUUCUGCAACUUGGGAAAUACUACAUGUAGCAUGACAAGGACUUGGUGCUGACUCGUCCUAGAUCCCACCCAAUCCACAGGGGCUGAGAGGGGUGAGAAAUGGUUUUCCCAAAGAAACUGGUGCAACAGCUUACAGAAGAGAGAAGCCUAUGGGCCAGGAAGAAAGCACCACUCUGUCGAGCACGCUCUGGCCACAGCACGUGCAUUUGGAUGAAGGCAGGUUGUGUGGGGUUUGGUGAGGGGGCUGCAUCGGUGAGAGAGUAGGAAAUCAAUCCCUGCAAAGUAGACCUGAAGGCACUGGGGAUGCCAGACCUGAAUUCAGGACAUCGUAUCCCUCUGUUGUCUGGGAAUCUGUUGUCUUUUUUCCUUACUGUUUUACAUCUUUAAUUGUUGCCCAUAAGUGUGCUUCACUUAAAGAAGGAUAUUUUAAGUAAUAGUUAUUUUUGUGAAAACAAAAGAGAUAAACCCAGAAAGCUUAACUGUAUUAGUGAUCUACUGCUAUGUAACAAUAUUAUGAGCUUAACACAACACACACUAACUGUUUCACAGUACCUGAGAAUCAAAAGUCCAGACACAGCUGACCCGGGUCCUCUCAAGGCUGCAAUUGGGACGUCAGUCAGGGCUGUGUUCUCAUCUGUAGAUUCAACUGGGGAAGGAUCCACUUCCAAGUUCACAUGAUUGUUGGCACCAUUAAGUUCCUUGCAGCUGUUGGACAUAGGCCUCAAUUUCUUGCCAGCUGUCAGCUGGGGCCUGGAAACCACUCACAGUUCCUAGAAGCUCCCCUCAGUUCCUGAUCCUAUGGGCCCCCAAAAUGCCUGUUUGCUUCACUGAACCAGUAAAAGAGAGAUUCCAGUAAGACAGGGGAGACACUCUUAUGUAAUGUCAUCACUUGCAUCCUGUCACCUUUGUCAUAGUCUGUGGUUAGAAGCAAGUCAUAGGUCUUGCCCCCACUAAGGAAUGAAUGCCAGGAGUCAGGGCUUUUUGGGGGGUCACCUUAGAAUCUGUCCACCACAUUAACAGGUUGUUGUGUCAGACUAGAUGAGUAGUGGACACAGAAUUGACUUUCCAGAGCAUUAAAAGAUUGGAUUAGGUUUUCAGAAAAGGUCUGUACCACAGAUGUAUAAAACUGCCAGGGUUCUCAUCUGCCACUUACUGGCUUUUUGACCUUGAACAAGUUAUCCCAUCUGUCUAAGAUUCAGUUUCUUCAUCUGUAAGCUGAGGGGGAAUAAAACUGCCUUUUAAUAGUGUUGUAAGAAUUAAAUGGGUUAAUACACGUAAAGUGUUAUCAUUAGUUCCAGCUCAUAUUUAAUGCUCAGUAAUGAUCAGCAUUACACACACACACACACAUUAUAAAUACAUACCAAACACAUAAUUGUGCAUCUGAAUGAUGUGCUAGAUUUUUCUAGUGCAAUAUGAAAGCCCACUUACAGAUGAUAAAACAGAGGCCUGAAGCAGCUGUGUGUCCUUCCUGAGCUCUCGGAACUGCUCAGGGGCUGACGUCAGCUGGAAACUCAAAGCUUCUCAGUGGGCCCCAAGCUGGAAGAGCCCUGAGUGGUCCUCUAACCUUAAAAAUCCCCCCUGGCCUGGUUUCCCAAGGUUUUCCAUGGGAAUAAAAGGAUGGCCAGAAGGGUGGGACUCCAAGGGCUGCUUCUUUUUAUUCACUUUAUAGUUUGGGCUUCCGCAGAAAGUUUUGUUUUCUGAGGAAAGGCUUUAGCAUUUGAAAAAAAAGCAAACAAAUAAUUAAUGGAAUAAAUACGUAAGGGUCAAGUCAGUGGCCUCUCCCUUCCUUAUCACUUACAGAAGAGGAAAGUGAGACCCAGAGAAGAUGUGGGCCCAGGUCUCAGCUGCUUGAUGUCCCCAGUCUCCCAGCUGCCGUCUGUCUCCUCAAGGCCCACAUGGCCUCUCUGCCCGUGAGCUUCCACAGACUAUUUUACUCUGAGUUUGAUUUGGAGAAAUUAAGCCAUUUAAAAAAAAAAUUGGCUGGACUCACUGUGUCCUUGUCCAAAACAACCAUGAAGGCAACUGGAAAUACCAAAGUAACAAUCUCUCGAGCUGGAUAAAUCUGUAGGUGGAUGUGAGCCAUUUUGAGCAUGGCCUGCAUUACCAAGCAGUGGAAUGCUAACAAAAUGUGGGCAACAAAUUGCAUUUUAAAGGCAUCAUGGGAGACUGAGAUUGCUCUUUUAAGAAACCCUAUGAGGAACACCUUGAUAGAGUAAGAAGGAAAAAAAGAA